GCUGAACGCGGGCGGCGUGCCUAACACUGCAAGUCGAAAAAUGCGUAUUGGAAAGCUUCGGCCGGAAGAUGCGUUAUCUAGUGGCGGACGGGUGAGUAACACGUGGGUAACCUGCCUUAUGGAGGGGGAUAACAGAGAGAAAUCACUGCUAAUACCGCAUAAGCACACAUUGCCGCAUGGCAGAGUGUGAAAAGAUUUAUCGCCAUAAGAUGGACCCGCGUCUGAUUAGCCAGUUGGCAGGGUAAAAGCCUACCAAAGCAACGAUCAGUAGCCGAUCUGAGAGGAUGACCGGCCACAUUGGGACUGAGACACGGCCCAAACUCCUACGGGAGGCAGCAGUGGGGAAUAUUGCACAAUGGGGGAAACCCUGAUGCAGCGACGCCGCGUGAGUGAAGAAGUAUUUCGGUAUGUAAAGCUCUAUCAGCAGGGAAGAUAAUGACAGUACCUGACUAAGAAGCCCCGGCUAACUACGUGCCAGCAGCCGCGGUAAUACGUAGGGGGCAAGCGUUAUCCGGAUUUACUGGGUGUAAAGGGAGCGUAGACGGAGUGGCAAGUCUGAAGUGAAAACCCUGGGCUUAACCUGGGGACUGCUUUGGAAACUGUUAAUCUAGAGUGUUGGAGAGGUAAGUGGAAUUCCUGGUGUAGCGGUGAAAUGCGUAGAUAUCAGGAAGAACACCGGAGGCGAAGGCGGCUUACUGGACAAUAACUGACGUUGAGGCUCGAAAGCGUGGGGAUCAAACAGG
rnacentral:rRNA from 1 species